rnacentral:tRNA from 1 species
GGGGUUGUGGCUCAGAGGUAGAGCGCUCGCCUGGCAUGUGUGGGGCACUGGGUUCCAUCCUCAGCACCACA